UACGUAGGGUGCAAGCGUUGUCCGGAAUUAUUGGGCGUAAAGCGCACGUAGGCGGUCUGUUAUGUCGGAUGUGAAAGCCCUCGGCUCAACUGAGGAAGUGCAUCCGAAACUGGCAGGCUUGAGUAUGGAAGAGGGUCGCGGAAUUCCCGGUGUAGAGGUGAAAUUCGUAGAUAUCAGGAGGAACACCUGUGGCGAAGGCGGGUCUCUGGGCCGUAACUGACGCUGAGGAGCGAAAGCAUGGGGAGCGAACAGGG
rnacentral:rRNA from 1 species